rnacentral:rRNA from 1 species
UCAGCUUUCGACGGUAAGGUAUUGGCUUACCGUGGCAGUGACGGUUAACGGGGAAUUAGGGUUCAAUUCCGGAGAGGGAGCCUGAGAAACGGCUACCACAUCUAAGGAAGGCAGCAGGCGCGCAAAUUACCCAAUUCUAACAGCAUAAGAGAGGUAGUGACAAGAAAUAACAGUACAAGGCAGUUAAAAUGCUUUGUAAUUGGAAUGAUAGAAAUUUAAAUACUUUUUAAAGUAUCAAUUGGAGGGCAAGUCUGGUGCCAGCAGCCGCGGUAAUUCCAGCUCCAAUAGCGUAUAUUAAAAUUGUUGCAGUUAAAAAGCUCGUAGUUGAAUUUUUGCUAAAAAUAACCGGUCUGCUAUUAUUACUAAAAGUGGUAUCUUGGUGUGUUUUUAGCAAUAAUGUCCUUUGAAAUGUUUUUUACUUUAAUGUAAAAAGCAAUUUUCAGGAUUUUUACUUUGAGAAAAUUAGAGUGUUUCAAGCAGGCUAACGUUUUGAAUACUGCAGCAUGGAAUAAUAAAUUAGGAUUUUAGUUCUACGUUAUUGGUUUUAAGAGCUAAAUUAAUGAUUGAUAGGAG